AUGGAAUGUAGCCCAAACCAUGAGCUAAAAUGAACAAAUCUUUACUUAAGCUGCUCUUUAGCAGCCAUUUUGUCACAGCAACAAGAAAAGUAGCUAAUGUGGUCAGAAUUUUCUCAAAUACCAAAUGAAGCUUCCAGCACCAGAAUUGGGUUGCACCUAUCUGAGUUCUUGGCCAAAGUGGUCCCAUAGAAAUUCCCAAACAACCCAGGCUAUUGCCAAGAUUAUGGGUUGCUCUCCACAAACUAGCAUUAAGGACCGAUUGCUGAAACCAACUCCUAUACAACUCCUUGAACAUGGAGAAGGCAGCAGGGUCUUACAUAGUGGCUUCAUCACUACAUUCUAGCAUCUUUGGUAUAGGGUGGUAUUCUCUAAGCUUUCAAAAGAGAAACAUAAAUAUCAAACCAGCCGCAACCCUAUUAUCCACAAUGGUGUUCUGCCUGCAAUAUAUUCUGUGGCAAUGGUGGCACAAAGCUUGUGGAAGUAACCAACCAAUAUCAAAUUUGACUUAAGGACUGCUCCACAAGUUGGAACCUAUAGCUGUCACUGCUUGGGUGGCCAAGAACCUGAAAGUAUGGACCUAGGAUUAAAACCAAUUAUUACUGUUCUAAAAAACAAGUAACAAUAAAAUGACUCCUAAUGACAA